rnacentral:rRNA from 1 species
CAGUAGCCGCGGGAAAACGAGGGGGGCAAGCGUUGUUCGGAUUUAUUGGGCGUAAAGGGUGCGUAGGCGGUUUGGCAAGUCUUGUGUGAAAUCUAUGGGCUCAACCCAUAGCCUGCACGAGAAACUACCGGGCUUGAGUGAUGGAGAGGUGAGUGGAAUUUCCGGUGUAGCGGUGAAAUGCGUAGAUAUCGGAAGGAACACCUGUGGCGAAAGCGGCUCACUGGACAUUAACUGACGCUGAUGCACGGAAGCUAGGGGAGCAAACAGGAUUAGAUACCCGGGUAGUCCCUGUCUCUUAUAC